UUCCUUCCUUUCACCUUUUUCGAGGCUUCGCCCGAGGAAAGCCGCGGGACGCUAGGUACCGAGUGGUUUUCGGGCUGCUUUGAAAGAAAAUCUGUUUCUACCCGGUGGCUUCGCAAGUAGAGCAAAAUGCCUAACGAGGACGGUAGCGGGUGCAGUCCCUGUCGUUGCUGAGUGCGUGCCUGGGGUCGGGCUCGUCGAUGUUCACUUGUUAGGUGUCACCCCCAGUUUACAGGUCGACACUCGGGAUACAGUAGUUUGCUAUAGCCAAGCCGCAGGUAAGUUCUCAGAACAGCAGUCGUUAGUCAGAAGACGACUCCGGUCCUGCUUUAAAUGCAGCGUUUCUUUCGCUGUCGCAUUCUUUUUUAACUGAACCAAACCCUUUCCAACAACGGUGCUUGCCCAACAUGUAUUCUUCCACUUCAUUUCUACGAGUGUAUGCACGUUUUGUGCUAGCCGCUGAGAGUAUAAAAACUGGAAGCAUCGUCCAUAUAGCUUGCAAUUCUCAGUUCUUCCCCGCCCCCCCCCCCCCCGGAGCUGAGGACCAAACCCAGGGCCUUGGGCUUGCUAGUGCUCUACCGCUGAGCCAAAUCCCCAACCCGUCAGUUCGAUUUUUUUGUAUGCUUAUUACACAUGCAUUCACCUGCCAAGAGUAAUGAGUUGGGGUCCUCUUAAACGAGCUUUUUCAUUUCUCUGUGUCUGAAUAUGUUGUUUGCCCUCCACAAACUAUUCUGCUCUCUCCAUCCUCUCAAUAGUUACGUUCUCUGAACACAUUUGGAAAAUAUCUGACCAUAUACCUUCUCUCUUGAAGUAAAUUGAUUUUCUUUACCGUAGCUUUUUAAAUACUAGUAACUGACAUUUCUUGAGUUUAUAUGACCAGUCUAACAUUGUAUUCAGUGCUUUGUAUUAGUUUUAUUGUUGCUAAACCUUGACUGUUUUUUCAUUCUUAUUUUAAAAAGCAUCAAAUUGCUUGAGGAUACACAGUAAGUAGUAAAUACCUACAUUAGUAUUUCAGCCACAUCCUUGAUUUUUUUUUGUUUUGUUUUUUUGCACACUCCCCUCAACACCUGAUUUCCUCAAACUUUUAUUAGAUUAUGUCACACAUCGUAAUCACCUACUUAACAUUUGGUUUUAACCCCUUCUUAAGGAGGUGAACCUUCUGGAAGGUAAGCAUUCAGUCUUCCACAUCUGGGUGUUCCUGGCAUCUAGAAUAUUGACUUCAAGAGAAGAGCUGCUCAGCAGCCACUGUGUUGUUGAGCUGGGGUUGGUCUGGUUGUCUGGUGAGUGAACUGAUAGGCUAACAAAGUUUUUUCACUGUUGGAAGGGGAUUAUGGGAUUAGUCAUUCCAGUCUAAUUUUUCUCUUUUUCUUUUUAGAACUGGGGCAAUUGAGACCUCUUGUGGGACAGGUAUUUAUUGAAUUACAUAUGUGAAACCAGUGCCUAUCACAACUGAACUGCAAAUCAUUUUAAACCUAAUCUGUACUGUGUUUAUUUCUUACAGAUGAAGAAACAGGUCACAUUUGAUCAGGAUGACAUUAGUAGGACUUGGGGAUUUGGAACCUACUAUGGCUAACUCUAAACUAACAUACUGCUUAUAGCUACUACAAAUAGCAAAGGCUCAAUUUCUGGACUAUGCUAUAUAGAAUAGAUAAGCCUACACAAUGAACACAGCAAAUCUGAAAGAGAAGAAGAGGAAACAGUGUUGGAAACAAGGGGAGCAUGUUACAGAUAUAGAGGUUUUUAAAAAAUCAAAAAUGAUUUUAUACAACCCAUACUAAUAAAUUUGGCAAAUUGACUGAUAA